rfam:Flavobacterium sp. KMS contig007, whole genome shotgun sequence.
CCCUAGCCCUGAUAGUAGCGGAAAUCCUUGGCCUUUUUUCUUUAAAAAGGACAAGAUUGUAGCGGAUAGCAGGAAAUAGC